CACACAAAUAAUUACAAAUGCAUGUGAAUGUAUUUAAAGUAAAAAUGUUAUAUCUUGGAUAAACUAAAACUCAUUUACUUAUAACAAAACUAUGUAUGUAUAUAUGAUAGUAAAUUUCAGGUUUGACUAACAUUUUUCAAUGAUUUUUAUCAUUUUUCCAUUUGGUCUUAAUUAAAGUCCUUUGUUAAAGCUUUAUUAAGACUUAGGCCUCCUGAGUUGAUGCUUUUCUACUCAUAUGUGUAGUAAUGUGGUUGCUUCCUGAACAACCUGGGUUUGGACUGUGCAGGUCCACUCAUACGUGGCUUUUCUUCUUCCUCUCCACCCCCCUGAGACAGCAAGACCAACCCCUCUGCCUCCUCCUCGGCCUAUUCAACAUGAAGUUUCGAGGAGCAUCCUGGGGCGUCCGAGCCUCCGAUAAGCUCCUCCAGCAUGACAUCACGCAUCUUGCUACGCCAGCAACUCAUGCGCGAGCAGAUGCAGGAGCAGGAGCGUAGGGAGCAGCAGCAGAAACUGCAGGCGGCCCAGUUCAUGCAACAGGAAGUGCCCGUGAGUCAGACCCCAGCCAUCAACGUCAAUGUGCCCACCACUCUUCCCUCUGCCACCUAGGUGCCAAUGGAAGUCCUUAAGGUGCAGACCCACCUCGAAAAUCCAACCAAGCACCACAUACAGCAAGCCCAAAGGCAGCAGGUAAAGCAGUACCUUUCUACCACUGUAGCAAAUAAACAUGCCAACCAAGUCCUGAGCUUACCAUGUCCAAACCAGCCUGGCGACCAUGUCAUGCCACCGGUGCUGGGGAGCAGUGUGCCCAACAGCCCCACGGCCAUGCUUACGCUUAACUCCAACUGUGAAAAAGAGGGGUUUUAUAAGUUUGAAGAGCAAAACAGGACAGAGAUCGAGUGCCCAGGCAUGAACAUGCAUUCAUGAGCGUCAUGUAUGCAGAUGGAUGAUGUAAUUGAUGAGAUCAUUAGCCUAGAUUCAAGUUAUAAUGAAUAAAUCCUGGGCUUGAUGGAUCCUGCCCUGCAAAUGGCAAAUACGUUACCUGUCUCAGGAAACUUGAUUGACCUUUACAAAAACCAACCCCCAAUGCCUCACCCCCACCCCCGCGCCUCGCCAUUAGCAACUCCUGUCCAGCCAACCUUCCCAACAUCAAAAGGGAGCUCACAGCAUGUAUUUUUCCCACAGAGUCUGAGGCAAGAGCAUUGGCUAAAGAGAGGCAAAAAAAAAAAAGGACAAUCACAACUUGAUUGAACAAAGAAGAAGAUUUAACAUAAAUUACCGCAUUAAAGAACUAGGUACUUUGAUUCCCAAGUCAAAUGAUCCAGACAUGUGCUGGAACAAGGGAACCAUUUUAAAAGCAUCGGUGGACUACAUCCGAAAGCUGCAACGAGAACAGCAACGUGCGAAAGAACUUGAAAACUGACAGAAGUACUGGAGCAUGCCAACCGGAACCUGAUGCUCAGAAUAUAAGAACUCGAAAUCCAGGAUUGAGCUCAUAGACUUUCACUUAUUGCAUCCGCGGGUCUCUGCUCCCCAGAUUUGGUGAAUAGGAUCAUCAAGCAAGAACCCGUUCUUGAGAACCGCAACCAAGACUUCCUCCAGCAUCACACGGACCUGCACGACGACCCUUGAUCUCAUGCAUGGCACCAUCACCUUCAACAACAGCCUCGGACCGGGGACCGAGGGCAGCCAAGCCUAUGGCGUCCCCACGAAAAUGGGAUCCAAACUGGAAGACAUCCUGAUGGACGAUACUCUGUCUCCUGUUGGCGUAACUGACCCACUCCUCUCCUCCGUGUCCCCGGGAGCUUCCAAAACCAGCAGCCGGAGUUGCAGCAUGAGCAUGGAGAAGACGGAGCAUGCCUGUUAGCAAACCCGCCCUGCCUUGCACCCUCACAGACUGCUUCCUUUCUUGAUUAGUAGAUUUAAUAAUUUACCUGAAGGGGUUUUCUUGAUAAUUUUCCUUUAAUAUGAAUUUUUUUUCAUGCUUUAUCAAUAGCCCAGGAUAUAUUUUAUUUUUAGAAUUUUGUGAAACAGACUUGUUGAUUCUAUUUUACAACUACAAAUGCCUCCAAAGUAUUGUAUAGAGAGUGUGCAGUAUCUGUGAACCAAAUGCACCAUGGACUUUAGCUUUCUGAGCAAGAGGAUUUUGCAUCAGAGAAAUGCCUGUCCAUUUUUAUUUAGGGGAAACUUGAUUUGAGAUUUUUAUACCUGUGACUUCCUUGGAAAUUAAAUGUAACAUUUAAUUGAAAGAAUGUAAAGCAACCAAAAA